UGCUGACGGUCUCACUGAAGUGCAGAGACCCAAAGCCAUACACGGAGCGUGAGGAAUCCAGCCCGGGCAGCAGAUUCAUUAGGCCAGUCUGGGAAGGCUGCUUCAGCCUUGGGGGCCGUGACUACACCGCAUAUUUGUUUGAAUUCCCUCACGUAACCCAGCAGAGAGCUUUACCCAAGUGGACAGACUGGCUCAGCGGAGCAGGGGGUGCAGCCUGGAGCCUGACUGCCUGGGUUCGGAUCCCUGCUCUGUCCUUCAGCCCUGGGACGUGCGGCCGAGUCAACCACCCUCUCUGGGCCUCGGUGUACUUGUCUGUCCAGUGGAGGCAGCGAGAGCCCCUGCUUCUGAGGCUGUUGCGUUCAGAACAGCGUUUGGCUGACUUGCUCCCACUGUGCAGCGCCCGGCAGGCACUGGGAGAGGAGAGCGGAAUCCAGGGGCAUCAGACUGGCGGCUGCCCCGGGGCAUAGACAUGGGCCCCUUGUCUCGGGCACUUAUCUUUUACCCUGGUGUCUGUCAACUGUUUUACACGUUGGGGACUUUUGGAAUUACUCAAAUCACGUGACCAAGACGCCCAGAAGAAACCAGCACGAGGACUGAGACUCUGCGGCAAGGCCGUGAGCAGGGACCAGCCGCGGCCUUUCUACGGCCCGCGCUCGGGCUCGAAUGUACAGCUCAGCGGUGCCGGGCUCUGGGUUAUGCCGCCCGGCUCCCCUUGUGUCCAGAGGUGUGUCAGGAGCGGGGCAGACCCCGGGGCCCCAGCCCAGAAUGCCGCUCAGGCGGCUGAGAGCAUCGGCCAGCAGCGCUCCAGUUCCGGAGGCACCGGCUCAGUCCUGUGGAUUCGGAGAGUCUGGGUACUGGGGGAAGGGCUAACUGGAUUCUGGAAGCCUCUCUCCCCGGGGAGGCGGGGCCAGAUUCAGCCAAGGCCCCACCAUCUGUGCGAGGAGAUGGCGUGCCUUCCCCGAGCUGCCCCCCUGCUCUGUGCAGCAGACGCUUGGCUCUGGCGGCGGAUGUGGAAACUGAGGCAGGGCUGAGGGAGGCUGUGGGCAACCCGGCAUCUACCCCAGGACCCCCUCAGGCUGUGCGCUCUGGCGAGCUCAGCGCUGCAUCUGAAGAAAGUCCUCCGACAACUCGGUUCCCCUGCAAAGGCAGGACCAGCUGAAGAAGGGUCUGGAACUGGAGGGGCCCUGGGACAGCCAGGGAGGAGCAUGUUAAAUAUAUCAUCCCAUUGCCUUCUGUCCUCUGAGUUUUCCAAUAAGAAAUUUGGCUGAUAAUCUUACGGAGUAUCC